rnacentral:rRNA from 1 species
GAUGAACGCUGGCGGCGUGCCUAAUACAUGCAAGUCGAGCGAACGGACGAGAAGCUUGCUUCUCUGAUGUUAGCGGCGGACGGGUGAGUAACACGUGGAUAACCUACCUAUAAGACUGGGAUAACUUCGGGAAACCGGAGCUAAUACCGGAUAAUAUUUUGAACCGCAUGGUUCAAAAGUGAAAGACGGUCUUGCUGUCACUUAUAGAUGGAUCCGCGCUGCAUUAGCUAGUUGGUAAGGUAACGGCUUACCAAGGCAACGAUGCAUAGCCGACCUGAGAGGGUGAUCGGCCACACUGGAACUGAGACACGGUCCAGAAUCCUAAGGGAGGCAGCAGUAGGGAAUCUUCCGCAAUGGGCGAAAGCCUGACGGAGCAACGCCGCGUGAGUGAUGAAGGUCUUCGGAUCGUAAAACUCUGUUAUUAGGGAAGAACAUAUGUGUGAGUAACUGUGCACAUCUUGACGGUACCUAAUCAGAAAGCCACGGCUAACUACGUG